rnacentral:sRNA from 1 species
AUGGUGGGGGUAGCAGUGCAGUUAUCAGAGACUUGGAGCUUUAGACAUUAUGACGACCCCACACGGUACUACUCAGCAGUUUGGGGAUGAUGUUCCCGACGAGGGCACUCUUGGUUUUGGUCAGGAGGCUAGCCAUGAUUAUGAUGGACCCGAUGGAGCUUUUCGGGCCAUCAUUUAACACAGUUGAUGCAGGCACACGUUCGUGCAACUCCUGGUAGGGAGAAGUCUUUGUACGGGGAGUUCCGUACCCAUAAGCCACCUUCUUUCGAUGGUAGUACUGAUCCGUAGGCGACAGAGUCUUGGAUCAAUCAGAUCGCCAGAAUUUUCACUGUAUUACGUUGUUCAUCCGAAGAGCAGGUUGAUCUUGCAGCGUAUAUGUUGACAGGUGAGGCUUACGAGUGGUGCCAUAUCACUCGUCCAUUAUUAGUAGCCUGGGGACCUCUUACUUGGGAUCAAGACGUGACAAUUGCAGUCCUAUUAGAUUAGGAAUGUGAUUGUGUAAAUCCUAGU